UACGAAGGGGGCUAGCGUUGCUCGGAAUCACUGGGCGUAAAGCGCACGUAGGCGGCUUCUUAAGUCAGGGGUGAAAUCCUGGAGCUCAACUCCAGAACUGCCUUUGAUACUGAGGAGCUUGAGUCCGGGAGAGGUGAGUGGAACUGCGAGUGUAGAGGUGAAAUUCGUAGAUAUUCGCAAGAAACACCAGUGGCGAAGGCGGCUCACUGGCCCGGUACUGACGCUGAGGUGCGAAAGCGUGGGGAGCAAACAGG
rnacentral:rRNA from 1 species